UACGGAGGGUGCAAGCAUUAAUCGGAUUUAUUGGGCGUAAAGGGCGCGUAGGCGGCCAUAUAAGUCAGAUGUGAAAUCCCGGGGCUCAACCCCGGAACAGCAUUUGAAACUGUAUGACUAGAGGGUAGGCGGAGAAAACGGAACUCCACAUGUAGCGGUGAAAUGCGUAGAUAUGUGGAAGAACACCGGUGGCGAAGGCGGUUUUCUAGCUUAUUCCUGACGCUGAGGCGCGAAAGCAAGGGGAUCAAACAGG
rnacentral:rRNA from 1 species